AGCGAACGUUAGCGGCGCGCUUAACACAUGCAAGUCGCACGAGAAAGGGCUUCGGCCCCGGUAAAGUGGCGCACGGGUGCGUAACACGUAGGCAAUCUUCCCUUGAGCGGGGGAUAACGUUUCGAAAGAGACGCUAAUACCGCAUAAGACCACGACCGGUUCGCCGGUUGCGGUCAAAGCUGGCCUCUUCUUGAAAGCUAGCACUUAAGGACGAGCCUGCGGCCCAUCAUGCUAGUUGGAGUGUAAUGGACUACCAAGGCGAAGACGGGUAGCUGGUCUGAGAGGAUGAUCAGCCACACUGGAACUAG
rnacentral:rRNA from 1 species